GCUUCUGUUCCUCUCUUUGGC
rnacentral:siRNA from 1 species